ACAGCUUCUACGACUUCAUCGUCACCAAGGCACGGGGGAAGAGUGGUGAGUGCCGCCGACCCAGCCGCCCCCAUAGCACCUUGCCGCCGAUGUUGUCACUGGGGCAGCAGCGGGACAUUGGGCUGUCACUUCUCCCCUGCAGGACCACUCUUCAACUUUGAUGUUCAUGACGAUGUGCGGUUGCUCAGUGACGCCACUGUGGAGAAGGAUGAGUCCCAUGCAGGCAAGGUGGUGCUGAGGAGCUGGUACGAGAAGAACAAGCACAUCUUUCCCGCCAGCCGCUGGGAACCCUAC
rnacentral:lncRNA from 1 species